rnacentral:rRNA from 1 species
UAGUAACUUGCGAUAAGCCCAGAUUAGGUAGUAACAACCAUUUGAGUCUGGGAUUUCCGAAUGGGGAAACCCACUUACAUAAGUAAGUAUCCUUACCUGAAUACAUAGGGUAAGGAGGCGAACCGGGGGAACUGAAACAUCUAAGUACCCCGAGGAAAAGAAAUCAACCGAGAUUCCGAAAGUAGCGGCGAGCGAAAUUGGACUAGCCCUUAAGCUUUACACGCGUUAGACGAACGGUCUGGAAAGUCCGACGAUACAGGGUGAUAGUCCCGUAGUUGACGACGUGUGUUCAGUGAAAUCGAGUAGGGCGGGACACGUGAUAUCCUGUCUGAAUAUGGGGGGACCAUCCUCCAAGGCUAAAUACUACUGACUGACCGAUAGUGAACCAGUACCGUGAGGGAAAGGCGAAAAGAACCCCUG